GACGAACGCUGGCGGCGUGCUUAACACAUGCAAGUCGAGCGGUAAGGCCCUUUCGGGGGUACACGAGCGGCGAACGGGUGAGUAACACGUGGGUGACCUGCCCUCAGCUCUGGGAUAAGCCUGGGAAACCGGGUCUAAUACCGGAUAUGACUCCAUGACGCAUGUUGUGGGGUGGAAAGCCUUGUGCGGCUGAGGAUGGGCCCGCGGCCUAUCAGCUUGUUGGUGGGGUGANGGCCUACCAAGGCGACGACGGGUAGCCGGCCUGAGAGGGCGACCGGCACACUGGGACUGAGACACGGCCCAGACUCCUACGGGAGGCAGCAGUGGGGAAUCUUGCGCAAUGGGCGAAAGCCUGACGCAGCGAC
rnacentral:rRNA from 1 species